CUUAUAAAACCUUGUGUUCUAAUUUUUUCCCCCUCCCUUUCCCCCAUCCCUUCCCCUAGAUGGCAAGUAAUCCAAUAUAUGUUAAAUAUGUAUAAUUCUUCUAUACAUGUUUCCACAAAUAUCAUGCUGCACAAAAAAAAUUAGAUUAAAAAAAGGGAAAAAUGAGAAAGAAUCAAAAUGCAAGCAAACAACAACAACAACAAAAAGAGUGAAAAUAUUAUAUUGUGGUCCACAUUCCGUCCCCACAGUUCUUUCUCUGGGUACAUAUGGCUCUUUUCAUCACAAAACUAUUGGAACUGGCCUAAAUCAUCUCAUUGUUGAUGAGAGCCAUGUCCAUCAGAAUUGAUCUUUGUAUAAUCUUGCUAUUACUAUGUAUAAUGAAUGAUCUCCUGGUUCUGCCCAUUUCACUCAACAUUGAUAUAAGUCUUUCCAGGCCUUUCUGAAAUAAUUCCUGCUGAUCAUUUUUUACAGAACAAUAAUAUUCUAUAACAUCAUAUACUAUAUAUAUAUGCAUGUAUAUACUAUAUAUAUCAUAUAUAACAUUCAUAUACUUACAGAAUAUACAUAUAUAUAUAUAUAUAUAUAUAUAUAUUUUUUUUUUAAAGCAGGGGUGGUACUCUUGAUCUCAGACAAAGCAAAAACAAAAUAGAUGUGAUGAAGAGACAACAAAGGAUAUUACAUCUUGCUAAAAGGUAUGAAAGACAAUGAAAUAAACAUAAAUUGCACCAAAUGGCAUAGCAGGCAAAUUCUUAGAGAAAAAAUUUAGUGAGUUACAGGAAAUUAGACAGCAAAACUGUACUAGUGGGGGACUUCAAUUUCCCCCUCUUAGAAGUAAAUAGAUCUUAACAUGAAAUUAACAAGAAAGAAGUUAAGGAGGGGAAUGGAAAUUUAGAAAAGUUAGAUAUUAUAGACUUCUGGAGAAAAAUAAAAAGGGAUAUAAAGGAAUAUAACUUUUCUCAACAGUUCGUGCACCCACAUAAAAAUUGACCCCAUAUUAGGCCAUAAAAACCUGGGCAUUCAAGUUAAAAAGCUAGAAAAAAAAUUUUAAAUGCCCACUUAAACACCAAAUUAGAAAUUCUGAAAAUCAGGGGAGCAAUUAAUAAAAUUGAAAGUUAAAAAAUACAUAAAGAUCUGGUGUUAUGGGGAGAGGAAAUAAAAUAGAUAAAUCUUUUAAAAUUUGAUUUUUUUUUUUGAAAAGGAGAAAAUCAAAUUAUUAAUAUCAAAAAGGAUGAAUUCACCAUGAAUGAAUGGAAAUUAAAGCAAUAAUUAGGACCUAGUUUGCCCAGCUGUAUGCCAAUAAAUUUAAGUAAAAAUGGAUGAAUAUUUAUAAAAAUAUAAAUUGCAGAUUACUAGAAGGGUAAAAAAACUAAAACAGUUUUAGAAAAAGAAAUUGUACAAACCAUCAAUGAAUUCCCUAAGAAAAUUUCUCUAGAGACAGAUUCUACCAAAUUUUUUUCUAAAUUUAAAAAAUUUUAGAAUUUAAAGAAUAAUUCCAGUACUAUACCAUAUAAAUUAAUUGGAAAAAUAGGUGAAGAGGAGUCUUACCAAAUUCUUUUUAUGACAGAAAUUGAUGCUGUUGCCCAGUAAGGAAGAGCCAAAAGAGAGGGAAAAUUAUAGACCAAUUUCCCUACCAAAUAUUGAUGCAAAAAUUUAAGUAGCAAAGAGAUUACAGCAAUUUAUCACAAAGAUAAUAUACUAUGAUCAGUUGGGAUUUAUACAAGGAAUACAGGGUUGGUUCAAUAUGGGGAAAACUAGGAGCAUAAUUAACAAUAUCAAUAACAAAAUCAACAAAAAACAUGAUUGUCUCAAUAAAUGCCAAAAAAAAAAAAAAAAGCUUUUAACAAAAGAUAAUGCCCAUUCUCAUUAAAAAUGCUUAAGAAUAAACAGAGCUUUCCUUAAAAUGAUACUCAGUAUCUCUGUAAAACCAUCAGCAAGAAUUAUCUGUAAUGGGAAUAAGCUAGAAGCCUUUCCAAGAAGAUCAGGAGUGAAGCAAGGAUAUCCAUUACUACCACUUAACUUUAGCAAUAAGAGAAGAAAAAGAAAUUGAAGGAAUUAAAACAGGCAGAUUACAAUGACCCUAAAGAAUCAACUAAAAAAUUACUUGUAAUUGUUAACAUUUUUAGCAAAGUUACAUAAUACAAAAUAAACCCACAUAAAUCAUCAGUAUUUCUAUAUAUUCUAUAUAUUACCAACAAAGCCCAGUAGCAAGAGAUAGAAAAAGAAAUUCAUUUAAAAUAACUGUGGACAAUAUAAAAUAUUUGGAAGUCUACUCACCAAGACAAAUCCAGAAAUUAUUUGAAUACAAUUACAAAACAUUUUUCAUGCAAAUAAAAUCAGAUCUAAGGAACUGAGAAAAUAUUAAUUGCUCAUGGAUGGACCAAGCUAUUAUAAUAAAAAUGACAGUUCUAUCUAGAUUAAUUUACUUAUUCAAUACCAUACCAAUUAAUAGACCAAAAAUUAAUUUAUUGAGCUAGAAAAAAAUAACAGAAUUAAUCUAGAAGAAUAAAAGAUCAGAAAAACCAAAGGAAUUAAUGGGGGGUAAAAGGGAAUGCAAAGGAAGAUAGUCUGGCCAUAGUAUAUCUAAAAGUAUAAAAUGUGGAAAAAUUAUGAUUAUGAUUUUCAUAAUUGUCAAGAUGAUAUGUGUAAUAAAUAUACUAAUUUAGAUUUCUCAGAACUGCCUUUUCUAUCUUGGGAGGCAGUCUUUCAGUAACGUUUGAAAUGAUCAUUCAAUUCUUGACAAUAUUCUCUUGUAUAUGUUAAGCUUAGUGAAUCAAAGAUUGCAAAAUCUAUUUCAGUCACAGAACUCUGGUCCCUUCAGGGAAUUCAGCAAUAGUCUUAAAGUGGCUGUGUGAUCUAAUGUUCAUGAUAGACAUUACCAAGUACUUCUCAGAACUGAAUGUCAAGCUGUAGAGCCUCUAUUGAGCUUCUCAGCUCCCUACUUUCAAAUCUGAAAAACUUUGAAAGUGCAAAUUGGAGGAAUGGUGCAUUUCCCCACUCUGAAAGGACAAAAACCUUCUACAAUAUUUUAAUAUGCUGGCGAAUGUACAAAACUAACUAAGGCAUUUAGUGAAAGAUUCAAAGACAUGAAAAGUAAACAAAUGGAGUUGAAGAUUUUUGCUAUACCAUUCAGCGUGGAACCAGCUGAUGUGCCUGAUUGCAUAGAACACAAAAUCAUUCAACUAUCAAGCAAUAAUGAGCUGAAAGGUAGGUACAACAAUCUCUCACUGCUUGAGUUCUACAAAUGUUAUAUAAGCAAUAAUGAAUUUCUCAUUUUGAGAAGCUAUGCAUUAAAAUAAUGCAUCCAUAUUCAGAACAAUUUGCUGCUGCAAGUAAUUCUUUUCAAAAGUUCCCAUCACAAAAGUCCACUGCUCUCCCUACUAACUCAAAUUUGAAAAAGCAGUUGCAAGUAGCAACAUUAUCAACACUAGGAAAUAUCACACACCUCAGCAAAGAGAAGUAGUUUAAGCUGUCACAUUAAGGGUGUGUUACUUACAUGUUUGACCAAAUAUAGCAGGCUAAUUUUAAGUAUGUCUUGUAAAUGAUGUUAUAAAUAUCCAAAUGGCCCUUGGCAAAAAAAAAAAGUUCCCCAAACCUGUGUUAAUAGAACAGGCAAGAGUCCAGUGUCACUCUUCAGCGUACAUGUCAGGGAGUAAAGUAUAAAAAGAUUGGAAAGGUAAGAGCUAAUGAAGGGCUUUGAAUGCUAAAUAAAAGAUUUUUGUAUUUGAUCUGAGAUAGAAUAGGUAUUCAUGGAACUUUAUUGGUUGGGGGACAGAGGAGGUGACAUAAUCAUACUUGCACUUUAGGAAAAUCACUUUAGUGACUGAAUGGAGGCCACAUUGUUUAUGAGACAGACAGACUAUACAAUACUACAAGCAUCAGGUGAUGUGGGCCCGCACUUGAAUGGUAGUAUUGUCAAAGAGAAGGGGGGGUAUUGGGGAGAUAUUGGCAAGGGCCCUAGCUUUUUAAAACCCUUCACACUCAGUUCCCAACUAUUUCCAGAUUACUAGGCAUCACUUCCCCACCAGCCCUUUGAUCUUCUUUCUGUUCCCCAUAAAAAACCCUCCAUCUUUCAUUUCCAUUCCUUGGCUCUCCUUGUCUCCAUGUCUGGAAAACACUGCCUUCUUAUCACCCCCUCAAAGAUCCACCUUCUUCCUUCAAGAAAUAUCUGAAACAGUACAUGCAUCAAAUAUUCUCCCCAGUUAAUAGUACUCUCUCCCCCACACUACCAUAUAUUUAACUGCUUUGUAUUUAGUCAUUUUACAUUUGUGAGUCAACUUCUUGCAAUAAAUAAAGGCAGAGAUUUAUUAAAGGUAGAAAUUCUCAAUUUUUUUCAUGGAGCCCUUUGGCAAUCUAGGAAAGAUCAUGAAUACUAGUACAAAAAAAAAAAGUGUCUUAAAAUGUAUAAAGGACAACAUGUAGGAUUAAAAAAAGGAAAUACAUCAUAAGUAAAUAAAGAUGCAUUUGUUCCCAUCUAAAUUGCUGGACCUGGACCUUCUUAAAUUAUCCCCUGCUUUAAGCUUAGGAGGAGACAGAACGGUCCACAUGUUACUCUCUCUCACUUCAAAGAGUAUUUCUUUCGAAUGAAAAUUUGUGAGUGUAGUUACAAUUAUUCCCAAACUCAGUGAGAAAAUUUCCAAAUACUUCAGAAUCCCACCCUCUAUGUACUUACAUUUGUCUUUGCUUCUAGUUCUAUCAACAUUUCCUCCCCAUCAGUACACCUCUAACACCUUCAACCCACCCCUGACCUUUCUGUGGUUGAGGCAACGUUUGCUGCCAGUCUGAGUAAUGAAAAAAUAGAAUUUCAUCAUAGUAUCUAUGGAGAAGAUAUCUCCGGUGGGGAAGCUUUGGGAAAAACUUAAGUGACUUUCCCAGGUUUAUACAAUCGAAAAUGAGUCAUUCUGAUUCAAGGGUGGUUAAUCUACUGGGCUACCUUGCCGCUGUUUGGGGCCUAGACUCUGUAUCUUACUGUCUUUGGCAUAUUUGGAUACAAAAUCUAUUUAAAAGGUUAUGGAAGGGAGGAUUUCAGAUGUUAAGUCAGACCUGAGGAUAACUUCAUGAGGGUACUACGGACAAUUUAAUAAGGCAUCAUAUCUCAGAAUUCUACCUGGUAGUUUUUAUUGUAAAUUUUGCAGCAAUCCCGCUCUCCCGAACCCACCAGGAAAAACGAUCAUUCCCCCUAAUUAAGUGCAGAGCCUCCACGACCACGUAGACAGACACACACACACACACACACACACACACACACACACGACUGACGACUAGCAUUCAGAACAUUAGCAGUCGAAAGGAUACUAGCACAACUCUUUGGUGAAGAGAUGGGCGGCCCUGAAAAGGGCCUUUUGAGUGUAUGCGUGCAGGCGCGGGAAACCGGUGGAGACUGCCUUAACCGCCGAAACCAUAGAGCGUGCGGCCCUGGCGUUUGAGGGCGUAGACCACGUCCAUGGCCGUGACGGUCUUCCUCUUGGCGUGCUCCGUGUAGGUGACGGCGUCGCGGAUCACGUUCUCCAAAAAGACCUUGAGCACCCCGCGGGUCUCCUCGUAGAUCAGCCCCGAGAUACGUUUAACGCCACCCCUGCGCGCCAAGCGGCGGAUAGCAGGCUUGGUGAUACCCUGGAUGUUAUCGCGCAACACUUUUCUGUGCCGCUUGGCACCGCCUUUACCAAGCCCUUUCCCUCCCUUGCCGCGACCAGACAUGAUGAAGGUUGUCAAGACGAGCUUACUCGAUAGCUAACCGCCGGCAGCCGCGGUAUAUAUAGAGAACGGCCUAUCCCGGCACCGGACCUCUUUGAGAACAAGGAACGAGGCCAGGAGGCGGGGUAGAGAGGCGGUAGGGGAGAGCGGGAGAGAAAAAAGCAGUAAGCUCCUCCCUAAGAGGGCUGGCUUGCGGCUUGCUCCUUGCCGAGAGGAGGGAACGAGGAACCUUACGUCUGACUCUCGCGGUUUUUAAAUUUUCCUUGUUUGAUUCAAGGGAUCCCUCCUUGGUCCUUCAGUUCCAUUCAGUUUUGAAGUGAUAGUACUCCCUUUGCGCUUCUGUUUUGCACGUUUUGCGUUGCCGUUCUUGAAAGAUGCAGUGGGAGUCUAUGACCGAUUUUUUGAUUUCUGGUAUUUUUGCCGUAAGAAAGUUGUCUUGUUGAAUAAAAGUCCUUGCCAUCCCUUGGCCUAUUGUCUAAAUUUUAAUUACACCACCUAGGAAUUGCUCAUACACACGAAGAAAACAAAGAAAAAUACAAACUAUAGAAACAAAGGCAAUAUUGCGAUGAAUGGAUUCAAAUGGAUCUCUGAAAUCCCAAGAUUGUCAUCAGUUCCCUCCUCCCUUCCCUCUGUCCCUUCCCCUUCUCCUCUCUUGCAUACAAUCGUUGCUUUCAUUUUUUUAAAGAUGGGUUUAAGAAUUGGGUUGGGGAAGGGAGCGACCCAAGGCUAUUCAGAGAUGGUGGAGGGUAGCCCUUUGACCCUUUGACCCUUUGUCCCACCAUCUAUCUUAUCUAUUAUUGUGACAGAGUGCUGGGGUUCAGUUCCUCUGACCAAAAUCAGAGCAACCAAUAAUCUCUAGAUUUUCUUUAAUGGUUAUUUGACACUUCAAAAGGUGAUGGAAGCCACAAGGACAAAUGCUUUUUCUCCCUCCAAGAAGUUGCUGUGAUUGCUGUGGAGACUGGGGUCGGGGAAGGGAAGAGGAAUAAUGGUCACCUUCAUGGGGAUACUACCGGGAUCCCAAGAACUGGUGAUAGUAAGGGAGAGGAAAGUCAGCCACAGUCUUAUGUGAGUCUUGGAUUUCUUGAGAGAAAAGAUUGCAAAAGGAAUGAGCAGCUCUCAAGGAUGAAAUUCCUGAAGAUACUCCCUGAAGAGGCCUAAUUAAUGAGGAGGAGGAGGAGGAG
ensembl:lncRNA